rnacentral:rRNA from 1 species
UACGUAGGGUGCGAGCGUUAAUCGGAAUUACGGGGCGUAAAGCGUGCGCAGGCGGUUCGUUAUGUCCGAUGUGAAAGCCCCGAGCUCAACUUGGGAAUGGCAUUGGAAACUGGCGGGCUGGAGGGAUGGAGGGGAGACUGGAAUACUUGGUGUAGCAGUGAAAUGCGUAGAUAUCAAGUGGAACACCAGUGGCGAAGGCGAGUCUCUGGACAUUUCCUGACGCUGAGGCACGAAAGCCAGGGGAGCAAACGGG